AUAUAAUUUACUGUAACAUUGGAAAUCCUCAGUCUCUUGGUCAGCUCCCAAUAACCUUUUUUUGAGAGGUUCUUGCAUUAUGUGACAUUCCAUCUGUUUUGGAAAAGCCUGAAACACCGGCUUUAUUCAGGUACCACAGAUGAAAUUAAAUUAGUAGCACUGAGAUAGCUUGGUUAUAUUGUAACAGCUAACCAUCUUAAUGUUAAAUAUAUGGAAACAAAUAUAUUAGAGCUCGGAUAA